rnacentral:rRNA from 1 species
CCUACGGGAGGCAGCAGUGGGGAAUAUUGCACAAUGGGGGAAAGCCUGAUGCAGCAAAGCCGCGUGAGUGAAGAAGUAUUUCGGUAUGUAAAGCUCUAUCAGCAGGGAAGAGAAUGACGGUACCUGACUAAGAAGCCACGGCUAACUACGUGCCAGAAGCCGCGGCAAUACGUAGGGUGCGGCCGUUAUACGGAUUAACUGGGUGUAAAGGGAGCGUAGAGGGUGCGGCAAGUCUGAAGUGAAAGCCCGAGGCUUAACCGCGGAACGGCUUUGGAAACUGUGGAACUGGAGUGCUGGAGAGGCAAGCGGAAUUCCUGGUGUAGCGGUGAAAUGCGUAGAUAUUAGGAGGAACACCAGUGGCGAAGGCGGCUUGCUGGACAGUAACUGACGUUGAGGCUCGAAAGCGUGGGGAGCAAACAGGAUUAGAUACCCCUGUAGUC